rnacentral:lncRNA from 1 species
CGCUAAAAGGUGACCGCAAGGUCUUCAUGUUCAUUACUAAUGGCUGCAUGAUCUACAAGAACGGCUGGAUAUAACUUCUGGUACUUGUUUCCUUAAUAUUUACGAUCUUAUUUAUCGUGCUUCGUUUUUCCCGAUUUUUAUUUUUCGUGCUACGUUUUUGCGAUUUUUAUUUCACGUGUUUUCGUGUUCAGUACCCCCCUUUA